GACGAACCGUGCGAACGUUGCUCGGAAUCACUGGGCGUAAAGGGCGCGUAGGCGGGAAUGUAAGUCGGGCGUGAAAUCCCCAGGCUCAACCUGGGAACUGCACUCGAAACUGCGUUUCUUGAGUAUCGGAGAGGAAAGCGGAAUUCCUGGUGUAGAGGUGAAAUUCGUAGAUAUCAGGAGGAACACCAGUGGCGAAGGCGGCUUUCUGGACGGUACUGACGCUGAGACGCGAAAGCGUGGGGAGCGAACAGG
rnacentral:rRNA from 1 species